UCGAACAACUGUGGGGUGUUUGUUUUGAUGUACGCAUUUUACAUUGUGGCAAGAGCCCAAUUUGAUUUCAAUGAGACAAACAUGCAGCAAAUUAGGCACUGGUGGUGCCUAG